rnacentral:lncRNA from 10 species
CACCUCGCUGCCUCUUGGCGUCAGCGAAGGCUCUGCUGCCUGCAGGGCAGAGAGGAGAGGGAGGAGGCCAGCGAGAGGGAGCCUCUGUCGGGGCGUGGGAGGAAAGCAAGAUAACGCAGGCGACCCGAGAAGGACGGUGAAUCUGACUGGCCAGACUGGGAAUCUUGUCUGUCACCGAGGCUGGAGUGCAGUGGCAGGAUCAUAGCUUACUCCAUCCUUGACCUCCUGGGAUCAAGGAAUCCUCUAGCCUCAGCUUCCUGAGUAGGUGGGACUACAGAUGCAUACCACCAUGCCCCGUGAAGGAAAUG